GAUGAAAGCUGGCGGCGUGCUUAACACAUGCAAGUCGAACGAUGAACCCGGAGCUUGCUCCGGUUGAUUAGUGGCGAACGGGUGAGUAACACGUGAGUAACCUGCCCUUGACUCUGGGCUAACUGCGGGAAACUGUAGCUAAUACCGGAUACGACCCUCGGAGGCAUCUCCUGGGGGUGGAAAGAAUUUCGGUCAAGGAUGGACACGCUGCCUCUCGGCGAGUUGGUGAGGGAAAAGCUCACCAAGGCGACGACGGGUAGCCGGCCGGAGAGGGUGAGCGGCCACACUGGGACUGGUACACGGCCCAGACUCCUACGGGAGGCAGCAGUGGGGAAUAGUGCACAAUGGGGGCAAGGCGUAUGCAGCAGCGCCGCGGGAGGGAUGACGGCCUUCGGGUUGUAAACCUCUUUUAGCAGGGAAGAAGCGAAAGUGACGGUACCUGCAGAAAAAGCACCGGCUAACUACGUGCCAGCCGCCGCCGUAA
rnacentral:rRNA from 1 species